UUGCGUUUCUUUGACACAAACGUCGCAAAAAUAGGAAAUUUCAACUCGAGCGAAAUUGCGGCACUCGCUUCGCUCUAUCCACAAACAUCGCUCUUGUUGCAAUUUCCUAUUUUCUUCACUCGGUAAACAAAUAACUAUUUCUUAGAUUU